UGGUUAGCCAAUGGAUGUGGCAGUCUAGGCUCAUGUUUCUUCACAGACAGGCUACCAAGGAUGCUGGUGUUAUUGCUGGAAUGAAUGUAGCCAGGAUAAUCAAUGAACCAACAGCCGCCGCCAUUGCCUAUGGUUUGGAGAAGAAAGGUGGGGAGAAAAGCAUCCUUGUGUUCGACCUUGGUGGUGGGACAUUCGAUGUCAGUAUCUUGACAAUUGAUAAUGGGAUUUUUGAGGUUCUAACCACAAAUGGAGACCCAUCUUGGAGGUAUGACCCUCACUAUUUUCCAUUGGUUUUCUAGUUUAGUGGAUUGAGAAUCAUUGAAUAAAAAACAGUUCAGCAUUCUCCAUUUCUCAUUAGUGAAUGCAACUUGAUAUAAAUCACAAAGAUAAAGUCAUAACAGUCAGGGAGGCUAAUCAUUGAUUUUUCUUGCACCUUCGUAAACACAAGUUCUGAGAGAACCCGGCCUUGUAUGACUAGAUGAAAACACAAUCAAUAAGUCAGCCCCUUUAUCCAAAUUGAUACAUAAAACAUGCAAGCAAUCAAAAUCCCAUAGAAUUUUAAUAUGAAGUUCCAUAAAGAGGCAAUGAUAUGCCAAAAUCAAAACAGUUCUGCUUUGAUGGCACAAAAUUUUCCACAGAAACAGUUAUGAUUUGUUCUAUAUGUAUUGACAAGAGGCCACUGCAGAUAAAGAUUUGUGCAUCAGGUGAGGCCAAUGCAUGGAAGACUUGGGCUCAGCUACAUGUACAAAAACAGUGCAUGGUUUAAAAGAGAAGUUGCCUAGGUCCACAUUCAAUGUGUGAGUGGACCAGCCUGUUUCUUAGCCAGGUCAUCUAAGUUGUGUGACCAACCUGAUGGAUGGCUCGGGCAUCCCUUGUGGCAUGUGGACUUAGUGGAACUGUGACCAACCAGCAUUUCUUCUGAAGUAAUUGAUCUUGAGUACACCCAUUUUAAAUUUAUGGAUUUGAAAAACUGCAAGAAUGCGGCUGUAGGAAAAAUGGGGUGUUUGCUAGUGAUCUGCAAUGGAAUUGCUUCAAGGUUCAAUAACUUGCAGCUGUUGAAUAUGUCUGGGAAUUCUCUUGUGGGUGCGGUUCCAGCGAGCAUUGGGGAAUUGAAGGCAAUGAAGAUGGCUCGACAACGAGGAUGGAAAGAAGGGACUGCUACUAGAAUCUCGAUGUUGAGAAGAGAACUUCAGGAAAUGUUAAGGAUCAGAUUCCAAGCAAAAAUAUAAUUGCAAAUGGUCUUCAUGUUCCGGCACUACGUGCUUUGGCAGUCAUUGAAAAGGAGUUGGGCCGACCAAAUUCUUGUUGGGCCGUGCUUCAAAAAAGGCUUGAAGUUGUUUACACAUGUUUUUGGUCAUGGAUCUGUCCGAUUGCUACAUCCUUUGGACAGAUCGACUGGGUCAUGGUUGCAUUUGUCCUGUUGGAAUCUGAUUCAUUGUUAUUCAGUUAGAAGCUUGAUGCAGCUUAUUUAUGCAUAUGCAUUUCAGAUUAUAAGAUCUUUCUGCUUAUUCCUCCGUAAGGAGUAAGGACACUCAUUUCAUGCAAUGGUUGCAUCUAGGUAGCUUGAUUUUACAGUAGAAUAUGGAACAGAAUAUUUGCCUUUUGA